CACGUAGGGCGCAAGCGUUGUCCGGAAUUAUUGGGCGUAAAGAGCUCGUAGGCGGUUUGUCACGUCUGCUGUGAAAACUGGAGGCUCAACCUCCAGCCUGCAGUGGGUACGGGCAGACUAGAGUGCGGUAGGGGAGAUUGGAAUUCCUGGUGUAGCGGUGGAAUGCGCAGAUAUCAGGAGGAACACCGAUGGCGAAGGCAGAUCUCUGGGCCGUAACUGACGCUGAGGAGCGAAAGCGUGGGGAGCAAACAGG
rnacentral:rRNA from 1 species